rnacentral:rRNA from 1 species
CGACGAGAGGACAUGGGAAGCUUGCUUCCUAUGAAAUCGAGUGGCAAACGGGUGAGUAACGCGUAAACAACCUGCCCUUCGGAUGGGGAUAACAGCCGGAAAUGGCUGCUAAUACCGAAUACGAUCUUUUCGUCGCAUGACGGAAAGAAGAAAGGAUGGCCUCUAUACAAAGCUAUCGCCGAAGGAGGGGUUUGCGUCUGAUUAGCUGGUUGGAGGGGUAACGGCCCAACAAGGCGAUGAUCAGUAGCCGGUCUGAGAGGAUGAACGGCCACAUUGGGACUGAGACACGGCCCAGACUCCUACGGGAGGCAGCAGUGGGGAAUCUUCCGCAAUGGACGAAAGUCUGACGGAGCAACGCCGCGUGAGUGAAGAAGGUCUUCGGAUUGUAAAGCUCUGUUAUACGGGACGAAAAAGACGGAUGCCAACAGUAUCCGUCCGUGACGGUACCGUAAGAGAAAGCCACGGCUAACUACGUGCCAGCAGCCGCGGUAAUACGUAGGUGGCAAGCGUUGUCCGGAAUUAUUGGGCGUAAAGGGCGCGCAGGCGGCUCGGUAAGUCUGUCUUAAAAGUGCGGGGCUUAACCCCGUGAGGGGACGGAAACUGUCGAACUUGAGUGUCGGAGAGGAAAGCGGAAUUCCUAGUGUAGCGGUGAAAUGCGUAGAUAUUAGGAGGAACACCGGUGGCGAAAGCGGCUUUCUGGACGACAACUGACGCUGAAGCGCGAAAGCGUGGGGAGCA